UGACACGUAGGCACCAAGCGUUGUCCGGAUUUAUUGGGCGUAAAGAGCUCGUAGGCGGUUCGGUAAGUCGGGUGUGAAAACCUUGGGCUCAACCCAAGGACUGCACUCGAUACUGCUGUGACUUGAGUCCGGUAGGGGAGUGGGGAAUUCCUGGUGUAGCGGUGGAAUGCGCAGAUAUCAGGAGGAACACCGGUGGC
rnacentral:rRNA from 1 species